rnacentral:rRNA from 1 species
GAUGAACGCUGGCGGCGUGCCUAAUACAUGCCAGUCGAGCGAACGGACGAGAAGCUUGCUUCUCUGAUGUUAGCGGCGGACGGGUGAGUAACACGUGGAUAACCUACCUAUAAGACUGGGAUAACUUCGGAAAACCGGAGCUAAUACCGGAUAAUAUUUUGAACCGCAUGGUUCAAAAGUGAAAGACGGUCUUACUGUCACUUAUAGAUGGAUCCGCGCUGCAUUAGCUAGUUGGUAAGGUAACGGCUUACCAAGGCAACGAUGCAUAGCCGACCUGAGAGGGUGAUCGGCCACACUGGAACUGAGACACGGUCCAGACUCCUACGGGAGGCAGCAGUAGGGAAUCUUCCGCAAUGGGCGAAAGCCUGACGGAGCAACGCCGCGUGAGUGAUGAAGGUCUUCGGAUCGUAAAACUCUGUUAUUAGGGAAGAACAUAUGUGUAAGUAACUGUGCACAUCUUGACGGUACCUAAUCAGAAAGCCACGGCUAACUACGU